rnacentral:lncRNA from 1 species
GGACUUGAAUGGCAUGAAAAAGGAGUAUGAAAUUCAUUUCCAAAUAACUUGUCUUAACUCUAGUGAGGUCUAGCCACAUCCAAGAAGAUUUAUGGUUAGCUGGCUACUCUAUGCAGGGUUUAGAACUGAACCAAGUCUCUGAACUAUUCGAUAAACAUUUAUUGGACACCAAUUCAUUGCAAG